rnacentral:sRNA from 1 species
UUUUUGCCCUGUUCUAAAUUCCAUGCUGGGUUCUGGCUGCAGAUCUAAGUCUCAAAUCCUUUCAUGAAGAAUUAGUCUCCUUCCUUUUCUAUCCUUUGCUUCCUUACUACUUAGUUGUGAAUAAAUCCGAGUCACUCAGAUCACUAGAGCGGCUCACAGCUACAGACCUAAAAGCAGAACACAGAGAAACAAAAUGUCUAGAAUUUGACAGUAAAGUCUUCCUCUGUGUUAGCAUCGAAGAAACAAGGGUAUAUUUAAACAGUGGCCGGACUGCUAGCCUGCGCCUCAUUGGUAUUUAUGCAUGAAGACGACUUGUUGAGAACGUGCUUUAAUAUAUUAUAUACUCCAGUCCAUGUGAUGACACGGUACCUUACAGGGAGGUUUUAGUAAGUGCAGAAAAGCAACAAAAAUUUGCAUUCCAAAAUGUAAGUUAGUACUUCAAGAUUUGUUCUGUUCAUUGAAUUCGAUUUGCAGCAUUCGUAGGAGAGUAAUAAUUAGAUAUGUGGACGGAAGUGUACUCUAAAUCAUUUGCCCUAGGUCCCAGCAAGUGUCUUUUAACCAACUGGAUAUGCGCACAGGUUCUUAUUUUAGAUAAAAUUCCCGUAUGCCACAUACAGAUAUGUACACACAUACCCAGGCGUGAAUCCAGAAAUUCCUAAAUCAUUGCUCUGACUCAAUGUGAGUGGGGGGUUACGCCGUGUCAGCUUGCGCCAUUUCUUCCCAAGGCAAGGUGAUGUGAUGAAAUCCGCAUGAUGCACAGCCCAGACUUGUGAGCCAAUAGCAGACUGGCCCCACGCUGACAAGGAUGCCCGCUGGGCAGCCAGCCUGGCCUCUGCACGACUCUUCCUACAUCCUCACCUUGGGUGGUUAGGCUGCGCUGGAAGGGGCUUAGGUUGACUUUGAAUCCCCUCCGAAUGCAAUCAAGGAUGACUUUGAACUCCUGACCCUGCUGCCUCUAUCACUGAAGUGCUGGAAUCACAGGCGUCAUGCCAUAUAUAUGCUGUAAACCUAGGGCUUCGUGCAUUCUAAGCAAGCACUCUACUGAGCUAUAUUUCCCAGCCAGGAAUUUAUCUCUUCUAAUCUAUAAUUUGGUAUAAAAUUCCAUUUAUGUUAUCAUCGCCCAUAGAUCAUCAAACUGCUCUGCAAUCAAACAGAAUCAAUGAUGUGAGACUUCGAAUCAGAAAUUUCAACCAGGCUAUACUGAUUACAUCCCUAGAGACAAUAUCUGUAUACAAAAAAAUCCUAGUUAAUCUGGAAAAAAGAGAGCGGCAGUUGGCUAAAAUGAAAAAAAAAAUGCUAUGAGAAAAACUUGUCGUCACAUAAACAUUAGGAAGUAAUGCAUUGUCAAUGUAAAAAUAGAAACUGAGAGUGGAACCAAUGAAUAAAACCUUAAUUAAUUCAACUCAUUUCCUGAGACAUAAGUAUUAUUUACAAGAAUGUGGGGAAAAACCUAAUGGAUGCCUACAUGUAAAGAAUUAAUUAUAUGUGUUUGUUAAUUCAUAUUUUGAUACAUAAUGUAUUAGAAUCACAAUGCAAAAACAGCCAGUUCAAAACAUUGGGUAUUGAUAUGUAGAUGCCAUUAAAAUUUUAUAGAUAACAGGUAACAAGCAGAUGAAAAUUAAAAUAUACAGUUUCACCUAAGUGACUGAAUCAUAAAUUGUAAUUUUCUAUUAGUUUGACAUCAGAAUUUCAUAGGCCAAGAUUUAGUAGCAUUUCACUUGUUUUAAACAAUGAGUGUGUUUAGUAUCAGCUAUCCUUACAUAUUGAAUGUUAUAAAUUAUUGAUUUCCUUUUCACUUGAAUGAAAUUUACAUGUCUGUAAUGCAUUCUUUGUCAGAGUGUAAAUGUUACUAAAAGUAUCUCUUUAAUAUCCAGAGAGAUUGAUAAUUCUUUUUAAUAAUUUGCCAUAUGUCAAGAUUAUAACUGUAUAAUAGGAAUAAACUAUACAAAUGGAUUUUCUGGGAUAUUUAUCAAUUUGUCUUUGAUAAUCAAUAAAGGCACUGUCAUGACCUGCCUACACCCUCAACUACAUUGAAACCUCAGAUUAUUCUUCUAUAUGUCUGAAUGUAUUCCCAGUCAAAACCAAAAUGUACAUUUUCUACCCAGACCCUGUAAAAUCAUCUGCAGAGACACACUACCAGACUUGCAAGUUCAGAAUGUCUUAUGGAUGCAUUAUGAGAAGUAUAGAAGACAGGGACUCACAGGAAGAUCAAUAAAGUGCAAUAAUCUGACCUUUGAGUUUCAUCAGAGACUGAACCUAAAAAAGAAAGCAUGAAAGUAUAGGUCAAAGCACCCAUUAUUUGGGGAAUGUGAAGCUUACUUUUCGUGUGGAUCUCUGAAUAAAUUGGGUUGAACCUAA